GACGACCGCUGGCGGCGUGCUUAACACAUGCAAGUCGAACGGGCCUGUCUUCUUUUUUGGGGGUGGGUUGAGUGGCGAACGGGUGAGUAUCACGUGAGUAACCUGCCCUUCGGUCCUGGAUAACCGCUUGAAAGGGCGGCUAAUACGGGGUGGUCCGGUUGGUCCGCAUGGGCUGGUCGGGAUAGAUUCACUGUUUUUGGUGUUUCGGCGGGGGAUGGGCUCGCGGCCUAUCAGCUUGUUGGUGGGGUGAUGGCCUACCAAGGCGGUGACGGGUAGCCGGCCUGAGAGGGUGGGCGGCCACACUGGGACUGAGAUACGGCCCAGACUCCUGCGGGAGGCAGCAGUGGGGGGUAGUGCACAAGGGGCGGAAGCCUGAUGCAGCGACGUUGCGUGAGGGAUGGAGGCCUUCGGGUUGUGAACCUCUGUUUCCGGUGGUGAAGGCCCUGUCCGUGUGGUGGGGUUGACGGUAGCCGGGGAUGAAGCGCCGGCUAACUACGUG
rnacentral:rRNA from 1 species